GACCUCUUUGUGUUCAUGCGGGCCUCGCCAUUUUACAGCGAGCUCGAAGUCAUAUCCUGAUCGAUGAGGUCGAACUCAAUAAACGGGUAGAGAGAAAUAGGCCCAUUCCAUUUAUGGCCCAAGUAAGUUGUUUACUUGUAUUGUUGGGAUUUGAGUCCAUGAUUUGGAUCCAAUACUAAUUCAGCAAAUCGGGAGCAACGGGUAGAGAGAAAUAUCGUUGCUCCCGAUUUGCUGAAUUAGUAUUGGAUCCAAAUCAUGGACUCAAGACAGUCACACUCUAUUGUAAUCAAAUCAAAACCAAAACAAGCUACUUAGAGCAGGAUUAUUGGGGACUCUGGACUCUUGAAGGGUUUCUUAGGGUAAUUUGUAAAAAAAAAAAAAGAUAUUAAUUUAAGAAACGGAUCUUAGUUAAAAGAGGAAAAGGAACCGGCUCUUGAGACACGUGUCUGUCUUCCAUCCUCUCCCCUUCUCUCCCCAUACGUCUAUCUGUCUCUCGUCGACGGCUUUGCUCAAGUCUUUCGUCGAUGUUGCUCCAGACUCCCACUUCCCUACCCAGAACCUCCCUUAUGGCGUCUUCAGGCCUGAUUCGAACUCCACUCCUCGUCCUGCUGUCGCUAUUGGAGAUUUCGUCCUGGACCUCUCAGCGAUCUCCGAAGCUGGGCUUUUCGAUGGUCUGAUCCUCAACGGCGCCGAUUGCUUCCUUCGGAGCGGACUUUCAUUGUGUUGGACAAAGAUUUCAUAAAGGGUGACUUGUCUCAUGGUGAACCUCAUGUAGAAGGUUUGUUUCCUGAGUUGCUUCCCUUGAGGAACUGGUGCAUAAAGAAGACUACUUGACCAUGCAUUAGUUUGUAGUCUUCUAUGUAGCUACUGUGACUAAGCGACUUGUUAUCAUUACUACUGCAACACCCUCUCUCUUUAGUUGUUAUAGUGGAAUUGUUCUUACAAUUAAAAUGGAAAUGAGAACAUAUCUACAAGUCUGCUCCUUUGUUAGUGGUCUAGAUCAUUAGUUAUUGGUUUGGCUUGAUUGUUUUCACGCUGAGUGAGUCACUGUAACAAGUAACCAAGCUUUUGUUUGCAGCCAUGACGAAGUUUUGCUAA